rnacentral:tRNA from 2 species
GGGGGCGUAGCUCAUCUGGUAGAGCGCGACAUUCGCAUUGUCGAGGUAGUGAGUUCGAGUCUCAUCGUCUCCACCA